GACGAACGCUGGCGGCGUGCUUAACACAUGCAAGUCGAACGAAGAGCGAUGGAAGCUUGCUUCUAUCAAUCUUAGUGGCGAACGGGUGAGUAACGCGUAAUCAACCUGCCCUUCAGCGGGGGACAACAGUUGGAAACGACUGCUAAUACCGCAUACGUUUUAAUCUCGGCAUCGAGGAUAGAUAAAGGGUGGUCCCUCUAUGUAAGCUAUCACUGAAGGCGGGGAUUGCGCCUGAUUAGCUAGUUGGAGGGGUAACGGCCCAUCACGGGGAUCAUCAGUAGCCGGACUGAGAGGAUGAACGGCCACAUUGGGACUGGGACACGGCCCAGACUCCUACGGGAGGGAGCAGUGGGGAAUCUUCCGCAAAGGACGAAAGUCUGACGGAGCAACGCCGCGGGAGUGAUGACGGCCUUCGGGUUGGAAAGCUCGGUUAAUCAGGAAGAAAGGCCUUCUUGCGAAUAGGGAGAAGGAUUGACGGUACCGGAAUAGAAAGCCACGGCUAACUACGUG
rnacentral:rRNA from 1 species